rnacentral:tRNA from 1 species
UANGGACUAGUCCAAUUUUACAUGUUAAUCUUAGCAACAAUUUAAAUUGUAGUAAAAAGAAAAUCCGUUGGCUUUAU